rnacentral:rRNA from 1 species
AACGAACGCUGGCGGCAUGCCUAACACAUGCAAGUCGAACGAGACCUUCGGGUCUAGUGGCGUACGGGUGCGUAACGCGUGGGAACCUGCCCUUAGGUUCGGAAUAACUCCCCGACAGGGGUGCUAAUACCGGAUAAUGUCUUCGGAUCAAAGAUUUAUCGCCUUUGGAUGGGCCCGCGUUGGAUUAGCUAGUUGGUAGGGUAAAAGCCUACCAAGGCGACGAUCCAUAGCUGGUCUGAGAGGAUGAUCAGCCACACUGGGACUGAGACACGGCCCAGACUCCUACGGGAGGCAGCAGUGGGGAAUAUUGGACAAUGGGCGAAAGCCUGAACCAGCAAUGCCGCGUGAGUGAUGAAGGCCUGAGGGUUGUAAAGCUCUUUUACCCGGGAUGAUAAUGACAGUACCGGGAGAAUAAGCUCCGGCUAACUCCGUG